GCCCCUAUCAGGUCCUGGUUCUGACGCUAAUCCCUUAUCGGGAUUAGCUCUACUUCUCAACAAACCCCAACAGCUUUCAGGUGGUGGAUGGAUGCCACUGGCACAGAGGAUUGGCUUUUCACAUCCCUCUCCCUUGAGAAUUCACCCUUGAUUGAUAAUGCUGCUUUUGGCUUGUGUUGUUUUCAUUUUAUUUCUAGGUUUCCUGUUUAAAAUUUCAAUGGAUCAGAGUUCAGAGGAAAAAUCAGACAUAAGAGAUCCUGAGAUGAGUAGAUAUGUAUAUAAAUCUUAUGAAACACUAUAGAAUGGGAAUCCUAAAGAAAAAUCUCAAAUGACAUGUUUAGGAGCCCAUUUUGCCUGGGCAACAGAAAAAGAGACUACCUCUAUAAGGAACUCUUGCAACAUGCUACUGAGGUUGGUAAAGGUUGGGGAAGCAUGUGGUUGGGGAAACAAGCAUGCUUGUUGGUUUUUUCUACAAGUUUUUUAGGCACAGAAUCUUACUUCAUGGUUGUUUUAUGUUUAAUAGAGACACGAAAACAGAACCAGGAUUUACACAACCAUAUCCAAAGAAUAAAUCAGUUAGAAAUAAAAGUGGAUGCCAAAGAAAUUGAAAUUGAGAGGUGAAAAGGGACACGGGAUAUGAUGAAACACACGAGAAACGAAGAGGAUGCAGAAGUCCAGAAAAAGAUGGAGUCAAUGAAGCAAGAGCUGGACGAUAAAGAAGGAGAGUUAGAGUACCUUAAAUCACUCAACCAAAUUCUUAUACUGAAGGAGCGCGAGAGCAAUGAUGAGCUGCAGAAUGCUCCUAGGAAGUUAAUUGAUACAUGCCAAGUCAUUCUCAAAUUGGAAUCAAGAGAAUGGGAGAUCUCAACAACAAACCAUUUCUUGAUGCAUCAUGCAGACAGAUAUCCUGCUAAAGAAGCAAAGGAAAAGGCUGCAAAUAUGUGUUCAGAGUGGGAUGAGCACCUCAGAUUCCCAGGGUGGCACCCUUUCAAGAUCGUCAUGGUUGAUGAAGAUCGUAAUCGGAUCCACAUAUGUUAGGAAAUAAUAAAUGAAGAGGAUGAAAAGCUGAAAAUCCUGAAGAAUGAUUUGGGUGAAGAAGU